GACACAGACAGGAACCCUAACCCUCCUCUAUUGGGGGUGUCUUUAUAAUCGCCUAUAAUUUCCACCUGUUGUUUAUUCCAUUUGCACAACAGCAUGUGAAAUUAACUAAGGCAGAACAAAUUAACAUAGAUUCUGCAUUUUAUUGACAAGAAAUGUACUGUCAUCAAUUAAAAAUAAGUCAUGAACAUUAGUGAAAAUGAAACUUUGUAAAUCAACACAUAAAUCAUAAACUAACUGGACUUUACAUUUUAUAAAUAGACAAGCAGAAAGCAAACAUAUGGAGCCUAAACAGAGAAGCAGCAACAUGUCUGAAUAUUGUUUCUGAUUACAGCCCCUCUUCGUCUGUAAUUGUAAUUAAUCCAAUAAAAUAUUCAUAGAAGCACAUUUUCUUUGGUAAUAUGGACAUACUGUCUUUGGAUUUGCGUGUUAUUUUGGUUUUAUACAGAAAGGAACAGCCGCAGACCAGAGACACAGAGAGAGACUGAGCGACACAACGCUAACAGGCUGCACGUUUCCAUGGCCAUCUAAUCAUUUGCUGGCAGAUACUGGUCACAUAAUGUAGGCUUGUGCCUGCCCAUGGAAAGAUGGGGAUUAUUUUAACUUUAGAGCUUCUAACUCUAACACUAAUGCCCACAAUCAUUGUUAAAAAAUAUAUAAUGGCUUGGCCAAGGUCUGCAUGCUGAGUGCUUCUAGUGUUCCACAUGUUUUAACCAGAAUAGGUAGAAUCAGCAGAGCAGCCUCUCUCUAACUCCACCAGGCUGAAUGAAGGAGAAUUGAUGCCUUUAAAAAGAUACAAACUCCCCUGAAACCAUGAUUGGUGGAUCUCUGUAGAAACCUGGAAAUUUGACAUUUGUCACAAACUCACUCAUGAAGUCAUAAACAAAUGAAGACAUAAAGCUAAUAACAUCUGAUGGUGUUCAGCUUUAGUUUCAUAGUGGUUCUCUCAGAGUUUCUGUCAUACGUGUUGUUUUCUGCAGCCU